rnacentral:rRNA from 1 species
UGGAUCCAGACUUUGAUUAUGGCUCAGGACGAACGCUGGCGGCGUGCCUAACACAUGCAAGUCGAACGGAGCUCCGCCCUUCGGGACGGAACUUAGUGGCGAACGGGUGAGUAACGCGUGAAGAACCUGCCUUUCAGUGGGGGACAACAGUCGGAAACGACUGCUAACACCGCAUGAUGUUCUUUGGGGGCAUCUCUAAGGAACCAAAGCUUAAUGUGCUGGAAGAUGGCUUCGCGUCUGAUUAGCUAGUUGGCGGGGUAACGGCCCACCAAGGCGACGAUCAGUAGCCGGUCUGAGAGGAUGAACGGCCACAUUGGGACUGAGAUACGGCCCAGACUCCUACGGGAGGCAGCAGUGGGGAAUAUUGGGCAAUGGGGGAAACCCUGACCCAGCAACGCCGCGUGAAGGAAGAAGGCCUUCGGGUUGUAAACUUCUUCUACCAGGGACGAAGGACGUGACGGUACCUGGAGAAAAAGCAACGGCUAACUACGUGCCAGCAGCCGCGGUAAUACGUAGGUUGCAAGCGUUGUCCGGAUUUACUGGGUGUAAAGGGCGUGUAGGCGGAGGCGCAAGUUGGGAGUGAAAUCUAUGGGCUCAACCCAUAAACUGCUCUCAAAACUGUGCCCCUUGAGUAUCGGAGAGGCAAGCGGAAUUCCCAGUGUAGCGGUGAAAUGCGUAGAUAUUAGGAGGAACACCAGUGGCGAAGGCGGCUUGCUGGACGACAACUGACGCUGAGGCGCGAAAGCGUGGGGAGCAAACAGGAUUAGAUACCCUGGUAGUCCACGCUGUAAACGAUGAAUACUAGGUGUGGGAGGACUGACCCCUUCCGUGCCGCAGUUAACACAAUAAGUAUUCCACCUGGGGAGUACGACCGCAAGGUUGCAACUCAAAUGAAUUGACGGA